GGCAGGUAAACCAUCUACAUUUGUUAUCCUACAUUUUCUGUGAAAUAUUUUGGCGCAUUUCCUCAAUAACUCAUGGUGUGGUUUGUUUACUUCUGCAUAAUCGUAGUCGGGAGACACUAUAACCAAUUUUCUCUCCUUGCUGUUCAGGGUCAAAUGUUGACGAUUGUGGAAUAUUUUCUACUUUUGUACUGUGCAUUAUUGCCUACACCUGUGUGGUACCGUUUUUUCCUGAACAAGGAGUAUGGAAGCCUAUUUUCGUCUCUAACCACUGGCUUGUAUCUCACUUUCAAGUUGACAUCUGUUGUGGAAAAGAUUGGAAAAGGAUGGUGCGUAGCUGCAAAAGAGAGGACAUCUUGCUUUUGUGCUCGCAAGAAGGAUGCAAAGGAUCUGUGAUGAUCAGCUGCUGUUUUGGGUUCUUGCCAUGUAACAUCUCCUAUUUUUAAAGAGCAAAACUGAAAAUGCAGUUCUGGUCUUGUUGAUGAACCGCUAGAGACUUAAUGAUUUUAUAUGGUGCUGUCGGUUGUCUGUUGUCUUAUAUCUUACUGUAUAUGGUAAUCAUCUUUGUUUUUCUAGAUCUU